rnacentral:rRNA from 1 species
UACAGAGGGGGCAAGCGUUGUUCGGAAUUACUGGGCGUAAAGGGCGCGUAGGCGGCCCGCUAAGUCGAGCGUGAAAUCCCCGAGCUCAACUCGGGAACUGCGUCCGAUACUGGCGGGCUUGAAUCCGGGAGAGGGAUGCGGAAUUCCAGGUGUAGCGGUGAAAUGCGUAGAUAUCGAGAGGAACACCUGCGGCGAAGGCGGGUUGCUGGGCUGACACUGACGCUGAAGCGCGAAAGCUAGGGGAGCGAACGGG